UUGGUCAUAUUAGGUGAGUAG
ensembl:piRNA 21ur-3121 ncRNA